UCCAUUUCCAACACAGUUUCUGAGAUGUAAUUCAAGAGGUAACUUAUCAUUGCAUUUGAACUAUUAUAUCAGUUGGUGUUAUUCUGUGCGAUAAGCGAAUAUUAUUGGAAAGAGGGCUGCCAUAUACGUUGAAAUCACCAAAUAAACAGCUUAUGCACACAUUUCUCCACUUCGUCGUAAGUUUACAGAGCAGAUGUUAUACCUUGGUACUGGUCUUUGUCUUUGAUAUGAACAUUUAUCCCCCUAGUUUAAGGUUAUUUAAGAUUCAUCCUGUCGUAAGUCUUCUACUAGCAACCAAUCGACAAUAUUUCACUUUAGCGUUGUCUUUGCCGUUACGUUGGCUUCGCAUUACUUUUGUUUUAAAUACAUUGAUCGCGUUAAAUUAGUUAUUUUCAGGCCAGUGAUAUAGCCAAAAGACUUAGCAUUAACGUCCUUGUGAUUUUACAGAGAUAUCGCUAGAACUGAGGAUUUUAGAAGGCGUUAUCUGUACCUUCUCAAAGUUGUAGACAAGAUAUGUUGUUUACGUGCAACACGCAUAAGAUUACAUAACUCAAAAUAAUUCGGGCAAAACCGGUCUUUUGUUAAAAGGAAGACUGGUUAAUAGAAAUUGGUCGUUUUGAGUGAUAUAAUCGUGUGGCGUCAUCGAUCCGUGUCGUUGAACAAUGAAAAAAUUUGUUGUGAAAUUAGCGAAGAUAAAAUAGCAUUUUGUGAGAAAACUGCGGGUUUACGGCGCGGGAAGUUUUCGGAUUCGAACUCAGCGUGCUUGAAAGUGUUAGUUCCCGUAAAAUAUUUCAGUUCCAAGACAUGCUUAAUGAAAGUGAACGAUAUCAGGACGCAGCAAACGGCCUAUUUAAUACGAUACAAAAGUUAAUAUUUAUGUAUUAAUCUCACUGCUGAACAAUGAAAUUGCAGGCUUUGCUUGCGCUGUGUGCCCAUGGUAUUUG